GCCAUGUUCUAGGAUCAAUCGAUUUUAUUUAAUAAAGCUCCGUGCGUCUCGAAAUUUCUGUAAUUUCUCACAAUCACAAUUUUAACUUAAACCUCGCCGCUAGCUUUCUGUUGCUACGCUGCAUAUAACAUUAAAGUAUAUAUAAAACCUUCUUUUUGAGGUUAUAAAGCUUAAAGUCGAUUACACGGGUUGCGAGUGUGUGUGCGGUGCAUUUGUGUGCGCGCCCUGCGCGCUGCAUCGGCCCUAGGUCAGUACUCUUCAGUGCAUCCGAGUGACUGCAUUCUCGCUCGCUUUACUUACAAAACAUCAAAAAUCAAACAAAAAAAUCAAAUAUCCCAAUCCCCAGUGUUUGAAAACGUACAAAACCGCGGCAAUAUCGCUAUGGACAGUGAAGGAAACUCGGAUAAACGAUUCUUUCUCCGCCGCCAUAUUGAUGCUAUAUUCUAUGAUAAUGGUCUUCGAUGAACGGUUUCGUUCCUCGUUUCAGGAGAAUAUUAAAAUUGCCGACAUACAAAGGUACGUCAUUUUUAUUAUUUAUUUUUAUAUGGAGCUGGAUUUUUUUCAAAUUUACCAUAAUAUUUGAACUUUGACUACAACCAUCUUGAUUCCAAAUAUGUUGUUGUUUAAUUUUGUUUUGUCAUAUCGGACAACGGAGCUGGUGGUUCGCCUGAUGGUGAGCGAUCACCACCCGUGAGCAGAGCAGAGGUAGUGCCUCUGAGAAUGCGCUGCCCGCUUUUAUGGGGUAUGGUAUUAGUACCAGUAGUAUUAUGUAUCUAUAGUAUUAUGUUAUCUAUGGCAUUAGCAAGUAUUGACGACUGGAAAGAAGGAAUGAACUGGGAAGGGUGAGGAAACGGAAACGGGCUUCCGGCAAUUAUAUGAAUUACAAUAAAAUCUCAAAAAAUUUGAGACUUAACCAAAAAAACUUUUAUAAACGAAUAUUGUAGAAUGUGGAACCUUCCUAAUUUAACUUACUUUGAAUUCCUACUUAAUAACAAUUAUAUUUACUCGUAUACCACGUCAGUGACGAACCAUUCAUAAAUAAGAUAAGUUUAAAACUAGGAAUAAAAAUGAGGGUAGUUUGAGAAAUGUUUCAACUGAAGCAAGCGUCUAUACUCAAACUAAAACAUUUAUACAUUCAACUAGACUUCCUAUAGAAGCACUUUUGAAUCGUCAUAUUACACAGUUUUAUAGUCCACCAUUAUUAUUGACUAUAACUGAAGAACCCAUCCAUACGCUGACCUCGUCUAAGGCUGCUUAACCUCACAUUGUUUUAUGUUUGCUAUAAACGUCUUGAAGUUAACGAAUA